UGGAGCUGAAGGCUGGGACUGGAUGGUGUUAACUUAAGAGAUAGGUGGGAGGGGUUGAAUGGAGCUGAAGGCUGGGACUGGAUGGUGUUAACUUAAGAGAUAGGUGGGAGGGGUUGAAUGGAGCUGAAGGCUGGGACUGGAUGGUGUUAACUUAAGAGAUAGGUGGGAGGGGUUGAAUGGAGCUGAAGGCUGGGACUGGAUGGUGUUAACUUAAGAGAUAGGUGGGAGGGGUUGAAUGGAGCUGAAGGCUGGGACUGGAUGGUGUUAACUUAAGAGAUAGGUGGGAGGGGUUGAAUGGAGCUGAAGGCUGGGACUGGAUGGUGUUAACUUAAGAGAUAGGUGGGAGGGGUUGAAUGGAGCUGAAGGCUGGGACUGGAUGGUGUUAACUUAAGAGAUAGGUGGGAGGGGUUGAAUGGAGCUGAAGGCUGGGACUGGAUGGUGUUAACUUAAGAGAUAGGUGGGAGGGGUUGAAUGGAGCUGAAGGCUGGGACUGGAUGGUGUUAACUUAAGAGAUAGGUGGGAGGGGUUGAAUGGAGCUGAAGGCUGGGACUGGAUGGUGUUAACUUAAGAGAUAGGUGGGAGGGGUUGAAUGGAGCUGAAGGCUGGGACUGGAUGGUGUUAACUUAAGAGAUAGGUGGGAGGGGUUGAAUGGAGCUGAAGGCUGGGACUGGAUGGUGUUAACUUAAGAGAUAGGUGGGAGGGGUUGAAUGGAGCUGAAGGCUGGGACUGGAUGGUGUUAACUUAAGAGAUAGGUGGGAGGGGUUGAAUGGAGAUGGGACUAAUAACAACUAGAUAACUCAUGUAAAAGAUUAAGAUGGGCAAAAGGACACAGACACAGGACAGAGAUAUGGCUUUGUCUUUGCAAACCUGCCUAGAAGGCCAGCAUCCCGGAGUCGCCUCUUCAC